UACGUAUGGUGCAAGCGUUAUCCGGAUUUACUGGGCGUAAAGGGAGCACAGGCGGCGCGCCAAGUCUGAUGUGAAACCCCGGGGCUCAACCCCGGGCAUGCAUUGGAAACUGGCGGGCUGGAGUGCCGGAGAGGUAAGCGGAAUUCCUAGUGUAGCGGUGAAAUGCGUAGAUAUUAGGAGGAACACCAGUGGCGAAGGCGGCUUACUGGACGGCAACUGACGCUGAGGCUCGAAAGCGUGGGGAGCAAACAGG
rnacentral:rRNA from 1 species